ACUUGCAGUAAGUUAAAUUCUGUAAACUGAAAAACAGUUCAUUGCAAAUGAGACCAGUUCAUUUUCAUUUGACCAUUGCUUAAUCCUUAUCUUGUACUUCAUAAAGUGAAACCAUUCACCAUUUUUACUAUACAUGUGAACACUAUUCAGACCUCCUCCUAUAAAAUUGUCCACAUAAUUUCUGUAACAAUAAAGAACAUAUAUUCAAAAUUCAAUAUCUCCCUCUAAAUACACAAAUUAGUAAUAUAUUUCACAUCAAUUUUAAGACUCAAGACGAACGCUUCCCAGUUAGUUGCUCAAUCUUUCACACCCUCCCCCUCCCUUCUUCCACAAGCAACACACGUGCAUACACUUCUGUGAAACAGCCUCAGCUCGCUUCCCAACUGGCAGAAGCAUCCCUCAGGGGACAAGUCUUUAAACCUCCGCACUCUUUAAAAUUCAACCAGCCAGCAGGUCUAUAGACUAGUGUAUAAACAGUAUAGACAAAAAAAAAAAAAAAUCCUCUCUCAGCUUAUGUCAGUGACAAAGCAGCUCAGCAGUUGACUGUUUCUCCCCUGACAGUAUAAACUGGGUUUACACAGAUCAAUAGCUGGAAGUCCUACCUAGCUCCCAGGGCUUGGUUUUCUUCCUUAAUUACAGGUGCUAUUGAAACUGAAGUGUAAAAAGAAAAGAGAGAGACUUGGAAGGAGGCAUAAAAUGCAUGCAAAUAGCUUUUAUGGAUCCUCUUAGCAAUAGUAUUAAUUGAAAAUUAUACUUCCACAUUUAUUACAAAAGUGUGUGUGAAGGCUGGUAUUUUCACUACACAGU
rnacentral:lncRNA from 1 species